GCAGCAGUGAGGAAUCUUCCGCAAUGGGCGAAAGCCUGACGGAGCGACGCCGCGUGGUGGAUGAAGGCCCUAACGGGUCGUAAACACCUGUUCUGAGGGACGAAAUUUUUGACGGUACCUCAGGAGAAAGUAUCGGCAAACCCUGUGCCAGCAGCCGCGGUAAU
rnacentral:rRNA from 1 species